UCCCUCCCUACAGGAGAGACAGACAGAUGAGACAAACAGACAGAUGAGACACAGACAGACAGGUGAGACACAGACAGACAGGUGAAAUAUAGACAGACAGACGAGACACAGACAGACAGGUGAAACACAGACAGACAGGUAAGACACAGACAAACAGGUAAGACACAAACAGACAGGUGAGACACAGACAGACAGGUGAGACACAAACAGACAGGUGAGACACAGACAGUUGAGACACAGACAGGUGAGACACAGACAGUUGAGACACAGACAGGUGAAACACAGACAGACAGGUAAGACAUGGACAGACAGGUGAGACACAGACAGACAGGUAAGACACAGACAGGUAAGACACAGACAGACAGCUAAGACACAGACAGGUGAGACACAGACAGACAGGUGAGACACAGACAGGUGAGACACAGACAGGUGAGACACAGACAGAUGAGACACAGACAGACAGGUGAGACACAUACAGACAGGUGAGACACAGACAGACAGGUGAGACACAGACAGACAGGUGAAAUAUAGACAGACAGACGAGACACAGACAGACAGGUAAGACACAAACAGACAGGUGAGACACAGACAGGUGAGACACAGACAGGAGAGACACAGACAGGUGAAACACAGACAGACAGGUAAGACAUGGACAGACAGGUGAGACACAGACAGGUAAGACACAGACAGACAGGUAAGACACAGACAGGUGAAACACAGACAGACGAGACACAGACAGACAGGUAAGACACAGACAGGUGAGACACAGACAGGUGAGACACAGACAGGUGAAACACAGACAGAUGAGACACAGACAGACAGGUAAGACACAGACAGGUGAGACACAGACAGGUGAGACACAGACAGAUGAGACACAGACAGACAGGUAAGACACAGACAGACAGGUGAGACACAGACAGGUAAGACACAGACAGACAGGUAAGACACAGACAGGUGAAACACAGACAGACGAGACACAGACAGACAGGUAAGACACAGACAGGUGAGACACAGACAGGUGAGACACAGACAGGUGAAACACAGACAGAUGAGACACAGACAGACAGGUAAGACACAGACAGACAGGUGAGACACAGACAGAUGAGACACAGACAGACAGGUGAGACACAGACAGGUGAGACACAGACAGAUGAGACACAGACAGACAGGUGAGACACAGACAGACAGGUGAGACACAGACAGGUGAGUAGUAGAAAUACUUUAAUACCUCAGUACUGUAAUACUUUAGUCCUUUAAUACUUGUUCAACUCACACAGUUCCGCCAGCGGGCCUUCAGAGGUCUCCACCGUCCCAACUAGAGACAU